AUUGAACGCUGGCGGCAUGCUUUACACAUGCAAGUCGAACGGUAACAGGGACUUCGGUCUGCUGACGAGUGGCGAACGGGUGAGUAACAUAUCGGAACGUGCCCAGUAAUGGGGGAUAGCUCGGCGAAAGCCGGAUUAAUACCGCAUACGCCCUGAGGGGGAAAGUGGGGGAUCUUCGGACCUCACGUUAUUGGAGCGGCCGAUAUCAGAUUAGCUAGUUGGUGGGGUAAAGGCCUACCAAGGCGACGAUCUGUAGCUGGUCUGAGAGGAUGAUCCGCCACACUGGAACUGAGACACGGUCCAGACUCCUACGGGAGGCAGCAGUGGGGAAUUUUGGACAAUGGGCGCAAGCCUGAUCCAGCCAUGCCGCGUGAGUGAAGAAGGCCUCGGUUGUAAGACGUCUUUCUAGCUGGGAAGAGUAAUAGACGGUACCAGCAGAAGAAGACCC
rnacentral:rRNA from 1 species